rnacentral:lncRNA from 1 species
GUUAACUGCAAAGCUAAAAAUAGUUCCUUUAACUGGAACUGAUGGGGAUCAUUCAUAUGGUUUACUGGCUCCAGCAACCCAACUCAAGGAAUCAUUUGUUUCAUUUACUUUUAUUAUUAUUUUUUAAUUUCUCAGAUUAUCUUUUUCUGGAUGAUCUCCCUGUUGCCCAAUCCCCUCAGAUAAUUUAAAGUUAAACCAUGUAGCUAGAUGCAAAAACCUAGCUUUUAUUAUUGUAUCUGUAGUAGAUAUGUGUUGUUGUUUGUCUGAGGUAUUUUUUCAUUGUUCUCAAAGACAAGUCAUUUCCAGAAUCAAAUGAAAAAAUUGAAACCAUCCAGAAGACAUUGUUCAGAAAGCACUUCUGAGGUUGUAUGAAACAGAAACCCAUUAACCAUCUCUGAAGAUGAACAGUCUCCAAGAUGCUGUGUUGGAUUGUGAUCUACGAGUACGGUGUAGGAACUGCAUUGAACUGCCUUCUGGGACAGGUGGCCAUGAAACAGUAAAGGAAGAAGAAGACAGGGAAAGAAGAUCAUUUUCUGGCAGGAGAAGGGCACUGAGAAGUUCCUGGGAUGGCUGGAGGAGAGAACUCUUCAGAAAACAGACCAAAAAUAAGGCAGCGACACAGCGAUGAGUGGUCCUCAAGCCUGAAGUGGUACAUGAUUACAGCCUGGGAACCAAGUAAUCAGGGAGUGGCUCCUCACAUGGGGCCUCCUGGAUUACGUCUCCAUAGCCUCCAAAUGUCACACCUCAACACUGACCCAAGGUGGCUCUAAACCUCAAGGAAUUGCUCUUGUGGUCUUAAAAUUGAACCUGAAACUGAAGCAGAGUGGGACUUGGAAUCUCCCAAGUCAUUGUCGCCAUGACUCCUGUGAGUCAGCUGCCCACUUCCCUGCAAUGGCUCAUCUGAAAGCCACAGCUUCCAGGGCGCCCAUGAUGUGCAGAGAGUGGCUUGUUGACCACAAGGAAUAGAAUGAGCUAUUUCCCACACUCCAGUCGAAGCCUCCAUGUGCAAAUUCUCCUUUUGUGUGAUUCUUCUUCUUUUGUUAGUAAGUACAAUUCAGCCUUCUUGAGUGAUAACAAUGAUAACUCUUACAUUUUUUGGCAAUGCCAGGCAUUAAUCACUUUCUGUUGUUCAUGUUCUGAUUAUACAUUCUUUCCCUGGCACACUGUAAGAUUUCUGAUCUUAUAACACAAUUUUGGAAUUUACAGGGCCUGUCUCAUUCUCUUCUCAGCCAGAAAAUACAGAGAGGGCCUGAUUCUUGCUUCGGCUCCGUGAAGCACCACAGGCUUCGAAGUACAGGCGAAAUGAAAGCAUAGCUUUGCUCCCCACCCCCAGAUCUAGAGCUUUCUGCAUUCCAGCUUCCACCUCAGUGUCCCUGGCAGCAUGUGCAAAUCCUGACAGAGGAGGCUGGUGGGUAAAUCCCAGAGAUUCACAGCAAUGGCAGGAUCAGCGUAAGUACCUGGCAGUCGGGCGACAUUUCCCAAAUGCAUGUGGCACGUGGGCAUGUGGGCACGUGCAUGGCCAGGGAAUUCCUGGGCCCUAAGCUUUGGCACCACCUUGAGCGCUACGUCCCAGGGUGACCUUCUUCCAGUCUUCCCUAGUGGUCAAUACCAGAAACACCUCAGAGGGA